rnacentral:rRNA from 1 species
GAACGGGUGAGUAACACGUGGGCAAUCUGCCCUUCACUCUGGGACAAGCCCUGGAAACGGGGUCUAAUACCGGAUAACACCUGCCCGGGCAUCUGGGUGGGUUAAAAGCUCCGGCGGUGAAGGAUGAGCCCGCGGCCUAUCAGCUUGUUGGUGAGGUAGUGGCUCACCAAGGCGACGACGGGUAGCCGGCCUGAGAGGGCGACCGGCCACACUGGGACUGAGACACGGCCCAGACUCCUACGGGAGGCAGCAGUGGGGAAUAUUGCACAAUGGGCGAAAGCCUGAUGCAGCGACGCCGCGUGAGGGAUGACGGCCUUCGGGUUGUAAACCUCUUUCAGCAGGGAAGAAGCGAGAGUGACGGUACCUGCAGAAGAAGCGCCGGCUAACUACGUGCCAGCAGCCGCGGUAAUACGUAGGGCGCAAGCGUUGUCCGGAAUUAUUGGGCGUAAAGAGCUCGUAGGCGGCUUGUCACGUCGGGUGUGAAAGCCCGGGGCUUAACCCCGGGUCUGCAUUCGAUACGGGCUAGCUAGAGUGUGGUAGGGGAGAUCGGAAUUCCUGGUGUAGCGGUGAAAUGCGCAGAUAUCAGGAGGAACACCGGUGGCGAAGGCGGAUCUCUGGGCCAUUACUGACGCUGAGGAGCGAAA